rnacentral:rRNA from 1 species
AAUGAACGCUGGCGGCAUGCCUAACACAUGCAAGUCGAACGAGACCUUCGGGUCUAGUGGCGCACGGGUGCGUAACGCGUGGGAACCUGCCCUUAGGUUCGGAAUAACUCCCCGAAAGGGGUGCUAAUACCGGAUAAUGUCUUCGGACCAAAGAUUUAUCGCCUUUGGAUGGGCCCGCGUUGGAUUAGCUAGUUGGUAGGGUAAAAGCCUACCAAGGCGACGAUCCAUAGCUGUUCUGAGAGGAUGAUCAGCCACACUGGGACUGAGACACGGCCCAGACUCCUACGGGAGGCAGCAGUGGGGAAUAUUGGACAAUGGGCGAAAGCCUGAUCCAGCAAUGCCGCGUGAGUGAUGAAGGCCUUAGGGUUGUAAAGCUCUUUUACCCGGGAUGAUAAUGACAGUACCGGGAGAAUAAGCUCCGGCUAACUCCGUG